rnacentral:piRNA from 1 species
UACAGGCUCGGAGACGGUUACCUGCUUUGA